GAUGAACGCUAGCUACAGGCUUAACACAUGCAAGUCGAGGGGUAACGAGAGGAAAGCUUGCUUUCCUUGUCGACGACCGGCGCACGGGUGAGUAACGCGUAUCCAACCUGCCCCCAACUAGGGAAUAACCUUGCGAAAGUAAGACUAAUACCCUAUAAUUUCCUCAGAUGUCAUCUGACGAGGAAUAAAGAUUUAUCGGUUGUGGAUGGGGAUGCGUCUGAUUAGCUUGUUGGCGGGGUAACGGCCCACCAAGGCAACGAUCAGUAGGGGUUUUGGGGGGAAGGUCCCCCACAUUGGAACUGGGACACGGUCCAAACUCCUACGGGAGGCAGCAGUGAGGAAUAUUGGUCAAUGGGCGGAAGCCUGAACCAGCCAAGUAGCGUGCAGGAUGACGGCCCUAUGGGUUGUAAACUGCUUUUAUACAGGAAUAAAGUUAGCCACGUGUGGUUAUUUGUAGGUACUGUAUGAAUAAGGACCGGCUAAUUCCGUGCCAGCCGCCGCGGUAA
rnacentral:rRNA from 1 species